rnacentral:rRNA from 1 species
CCCUUAGAUGUUCUAGGCAGCACGCGCGCUACAAUGGUCUUCGCAAACGGAUGCAUUCUCGAAGGAGAAUGCCAAUCUUGGAAUCUAUGCCUUGGUCGGGACAGUUGCUUGCAAUUUUUCGACUCGAACCAGGAAUUCCUUGUAAUCGUGAUUCAUCACAUCACGAUGAAUACGUCCCUGCCCUUUGUACACACCGCCCGUCGCUCCUACCGAUCGAAGAGUUAGGUGAAUUGUUUUGAUCGAUAAGAUUUGACUAUGGUCAACUCUCGUUGUGAAAUUCUGUGAAUCUGACUGUUUAGAGGAAGGAAAAGUCGUAACA